rnacentral:rRNA from 1 species
GAGUUUGAUCCUGGCUCAGGAUGAACGCUGGCGGCGUGCUUAACACAUGCAAGUCGAACGGAGCACCCCUGAAGGAGUUUUCGGACAACGGAAGGGAAUGCUUAGCGGCGGACUGGUGAGUAACGCGUGAGGAACCUGCCUUUCAGAGGGGGACAACAGUUGGAAACGACUGCUAAUACCGCAUGACGUAUCGGAAUCGCAUGGUACUGAUACCAAAGAUUUAUCGCUGAAAGAUGGCCUCGCGUCUGAUUAGCUAGUUGGUGAGGUAACGGCCCACCAAGGCGACGAUCAGUAGCCGGACUGAGAGGUUGACCGGCCACAUUGGGACUGAGAUACGGCCCAGACUCCUACGGGAGGCAGCAGUGGGGAAUAUUGCACAAUGGGGGAAACCCUGAUGCAGCGACGCCGCGUGAGUGAAGAAGUAUCUCGGUAUGUAAAGCUCUAUCAGCAGGAAAGAUAAUGACGGUACCUGACUAAGAAGCCCCGGCUAACUACGUGCCAGCAGCCGCGGUAAUACGUAGGGGGCAAGCGUUAUCCGGAUUUACUGGGUGUAAAGGGAGCGUAGACGGCAGCGCAAGUCUGGAAUGAAAUGCCGGGGCCCAACCCCGGAACUGCUUUGGAACCUGCCGGGCUGGAAUGUCCGAAGGCUAAGCGGAAUUCUAAGGGUA